rnacentral:rRNA from 1 species
UACAGAGGUGGCAAGCGUUGUCCGGAAUUAUUGGGCGUAAAGAGCGCGUAGGCGGUCCGAUAAGUCGGCUGUGAAAGUCCAGGGCUCAACCCUGGAAAGCCGGCCGAUACUGUCGGACUAGAGUCCGGAAGAGGCAAGUGGAAUUCCCGGUGUAGCGGUGAAAUGCGCAGAUAUCGGGAGGAACACCAAUUGCGAAGGCAGCUUGCUGGGACGGUACUGACGCUGAGGCGCGAAAGCGUGGGGAGCAAACAGG